UACGGGGGGGGCAAGCGUUGUUCGGAAUUACUGGGCGUAAAGGGCUCGUAGGUGGCCAAUUAAGUCAGACGUGAAAUCCCCAGGCUUAACCUGGGAACUGCGUCUGAUACUGGUUGGCUUGAAUUCGGGAGAGGGAUGCGGAAUUCCAGGUGUAGCGGUGAAAUGCGUAGAUAUCUGGAGGAACACCGGUGGCGAAGGCGGCAUCCUGGACCGAGAUUGACGCUGAUGCGCGAAAGCCAGGGGAGCAAACGGG
rnacentral:rRNA from 1 species